rnacentral:rRNA from 1 species
UACAGAGGGUGCAAGCGUUAAUCGGAAUUACUGGGCGUAAAGCGCGCGUAGGUGGUUUGUUAAGUUGGAUGUGAAAUCCCCGGGCUUAACUUGGGAAUUGCGCUCGAAACUACUUGGCUCGAGUGUGGCAGAGGAAGGUGGAAUUCCAGGUGUAGCGGUGAAAUGCGUAGAGAUCUGGAGGAACACCGAUGGCGAAGGCAGCCUUCUGGGCCAACACUGACGCUCAUGCACGAAAGCGUGGGGAGCAAACAGG